GCAGUAUCACAAUAGCUCAACUGGUACAGCGUCUGCCCGGUAAGCAGAAGAUCGCCGGUUCUAUUUCGGAUUGCUGCG
rnacentral:tRNA from 1 species